rnacentral:rRNA from 1 species
UACGUAGGGUGCAAGCGUUAAUCGGAAUUACUGGGCGUAAAGCGUGCGCAGGCGGUUAUGUAAGACAGUUGUGAAAUCCCCGGGCUCAACCUGGGAACUGCAUCUGUGACUGCAUAGCUAGAGUACGGUAGAGGGGGAUGGAAUUCCGCGUGUAGCAGUGAAAUGCGUAGAUAUGCGGAGGAACACCGAUGGCGAAGGCAAUCCCCUGGACCUGUGCUGACGCUCAUGCACGAAAGCGUGGGGAGCAAACAGG